ensembl:lncRNA
AGGUGUGCCUCAGGUGAGAGCAGUGAUGACGUCAUCAAUUAACAACCAAUCAAUGAAUUAACGAUCCUUUAAUUAACAAUCAAUCAAUUAACAAUCCUUUAAUGAAUGAUCCAGGUGUGCCCCGCCCCAGCGCUGCAGGUACCGCCCGGAAAGGUGGGACAGGUGAGACAGGUGAGCUCAGGUGUGCCCCAGGUGAGCUCAGGUGUGCCCCAGGUGUGUUCAGGUGUUCCCCAGGUGUGCCCCAGGUGUGUUCAGGUGUUCCCCAGGUGUGCCUCAGGUGAGCUCAGGUGUGCCCUGGGUGACCCCAGGUGUGUUCAGGUGAGCUCAGGUGUGACCCAGGUGAGCUCAGGUGUGUUCAGAUGUGCCCAAGUGUUCCCCAGGUGAGCUCAGGUGUGCCCAGGUGUUCCCUGGGUGACCCCAGGUGUGUUCAGGUGAGCUCAGAUGUGCCCCGGGUGAGCUCAGGUGUGCCCAAGUGUGCCCCAGGUGUGCUCAGGUGUGCCUCAGGUGUGUUCAGGUGUGCCCAGGUGAGCUGCCCCUGCCCCAUUGUCCAAGAGGGAAAGGCCCCACCCCAUCCAGGUGUGCCCUGCCCCAUCCAGGUGUGCCCUGCCCCAUCCAGGUGUGCCCUGCCCUAUCCAGGUGUGCACACACCUCAUCCAGGUGUGCACCUGGAGCUUCCCAAACCCACCCCAGUCCAUGCUGGGCUCAGGUGGGUGCUCAGGUGAGCGCCCAGGUGGGUGCCCAGGUGAGCCCUCACAGCGCUCACAACCUUGGAGGUCCCUCGGUUCCUCGCCCACUGUUGGUGACGUCACAGCUCAGGUGUGACCCCUCACCUGGGCCUCAGGUGCUGCAGAGUUCGGGGUCCACACCUGUCCUGAGGCCCCUCACCUGCAGCUCAGGUGUCUCUGUCCAGGUGUUGCUGCUGCAGUUCUGGGGUUUUCACACCUGUCCAGGUGUGCAGUUCCGGGUUUCCCUCACCUGCAGCUCAGGUGUCGCAGUCCAGGUGUUGCUACCGCACCUUUCUGGGGUCCAAAAUCCAUUUUUGGGGUCCACACCUGUCUGGGCUCACAGGUACCGAGUCGUUUCACCUGGGGCUCAGGUGUCACUGCCCAGGUGUCGCUGCCCAGGUGUGCAGACCCGGGGCCGGCCUCACCUGUGGCUCAGGUGUGGCGGUGCACGCGCUGGUGCUGCAGCAGGUUGGAGGGGUGCGCGAACCCUUUGGCGCACACCCCGCACUUGUAGGGCGUCUCACCUGUGUGCACCUUCUCGUGCACGGCCAGGUAGGCCAGGUCCUUGAAGAACUUGUGGCAGUGGCCGCAGCGGUGCGGCCUCACCUGGCUGUGCACGCGGCGGUGCUGCAGCAGCAGCGAGGGCCGGGCGAACGCCUUCCCGCAGGCCUCGCACCUGUAGGGCCGCUCACCUGUGUGCGCCCGCUGGUGCACGGCCAGGUAGGAGGACUGCUUGAAGCGCUUGCCGCAGGUGCGGCAGGCGAAGGGGCGCUCACCCGUGUGCACGCGGCCGUGCGAGGCCAGCGCGUUGCUCUGCUUGAAGGCCUUCCCGCAGAGCGCGCACCUGAAGGGGCGGUCACCUGUGUGCACGCGCUCGUGCACCUUCAGCGAGUGCCCGUAGGCGAAGCGCUUCCCGCAGACGCCGCAGGCGUGCGGCUUGUCCUGGCAGCCGCGCCGCCGGUGCAGCAGCAGCGCCUUGGCCGCCGCGAAAUCCUUGCCGCACUCGCCGCACCUGAAGGGCCGCUCGGCCGCCAGGUGCGUCAGGGCGUGGCGCUGGCGCUCGUAGGGCGUCUUGAAAGCCUUGGCGCACCUGGGGCAGGUGAAGGGGCGCUGGCCGCUGUGGAUGCGGCGGUGCUCCUGCAGGUUGGAGGCGCGUUUGAAGCGUUUGCCGCAGAGCUCGCAGCGGUGCGGCCGCUCCUCCGUGUGCACCAGCGCGUGGCUCUUGAAGUCCGAGUGGCGCUUGAAGGUGGCGCGGCACACCUGGCAGGUGAAGGGCCGCGCCUCCGUGUGCACCACCUGGUGGCUCAGCAGCUCCCAGGUGCGCUUGAAGGCCUUGUGGCAGACGGGGCACUGGAAGGGCUUCUCGGCCACGAUCACCUGGCGGAUCUCCAGGUGGGACGGGACCUCCUCUUCUUCCUCCUCCUCCUCCUCCUCCCCAGGUGCGUUUUGGCGCUGUCCUUCCUCCUCCUCGGCCUCACCUGGCGCACCUGGCGCACCUGGGCGGCCGCCCAGCACCAGCUUGGCGGUGGAGUAGACGCCGCGCUCGUCGAUGAGCUGCACGAAGGCGCCUGGCUCAGGUGAGGCGGGCGCACCUGGCGGGUGCCAGGGCACCUGUGGGUGGGAGGGGCCGGGCUGGUCGUGGGAUGGGCGUGGCCGCAGGUAAAGGCGGGGCUGGCGCAGGUGGGGGGGGUCGGCUGGGUCCUCCUCACCUGCAUCUUCGUCAUCACCUGUGUCUUCCUCACCUGGGUCUUCAUCACCUGGGUCUUCCUCACCUGCAUCUUCAUCAUCACCUGGGUCUUCCUCACCUGGGUCUUCAUCAUCACCUGCGUCUUCAUCACCUGGAUCUUCGUCAUCACCUGGAUCUUCGUCAUCACCUGCUUCUUCCUCACCUGUGUCUUCAUCCUCACCUGCAUCUUCAUCACCUACGUCUCCCUCCCCUGGAUCUCCCUCACCUGGAUCUUCAUCAUCACCUGGAUCUUCCUCCUCACCUGCUUCUUCACCUGUUCCUUCCUCACCUGACCCUUCCUCCUCCUCACCUGGCUGCUCCUCCUCCUCCUCCUCCUCCUCCUCCUCCUCGGACAGGUGAGGGAUCACCUGGGCAAAGGGGGGGUCCCGGCCCCGGAGCCCCUCCAUGGCCGCACCUGGAAAAGCGGGAAUGGGACAGGUGGGACAGGUGGGGGACAGGAGGGACAGGUGGGACAGGUGAGGGACAGGUGAGACAGGUGAGACAGGUGGGGGACAGGUGGGACAGGUGGGACAGGUGGGACAGGUGAGGGACAGGUGGGACAGGUGGGACAGGUGAGGAACUUGGAAUUCCCCUGGGAAUCCCCUGAGCUAAAUUUGGGAUCCCUCAGGAAUUCCGAGCUGGAUUUGGGGAUCCCCUCAGGAGAUCCCUGGGGAGGGAUUUUGGGGAUUCCUGGAGCUGAAUUUGGGGAUCCCCUUGGGAAUUCCCUGAGUGGGACUUGGGGAUCCCCCUGGAAUGGAUUUGGGAUCCCUUUGGGAAUUCCAUGCAGGAUUUGGGGAUCCCCUUGGAAACUCCUGGAGCUGAAUUUCGGAUCCCCUCGGGAAUUUCCAGGGAUGGAUUUGGGGAUCCUUUGAGUUGAAUUUGGGGAUCCCUUCGGGAAUUCCUUGGGAUGGAUUUGGGGAUCCCUUUGGGAACUUCCUGAGUCAGGAAUCAUUUUGGGGACUCUCCUAAAAUGGAUUUGGGAUCCCCUUGGGAAUUGCCUGGGAUGGAUUUUGGGGAUCCCUCGGGAAUUCCCUGGGAGGGAUUUUGGGGAUCCCUUUGGGAAUUCUGAGCUGGAUUUUGGGAUCCCCUUGUGAACUCCUGGAGCUGAAUUUGGGGAUCCCUUUGGAGCCGCCAGGCCUGGAUUUGGGGAUCGCCUUGGGAAUUCCCUGGGAUGGAUUUUGGGGAUCCCUUGAGUUGAAUUUGGGGAUCCCCUCGGGAAUUCCCUGGGAUGGGUUCAGGGAUCCCUUUGGAAAUCUCCUGGAAUGGAUUUGGGGAUCCCCUCGGGAAUUCCCUGGGACUGAUUUGGGAUCCCCUUGGGAAUUCCAUGCAGGAUUUGGGGAUCCCCUUGGAAACUCCUGGAGCUGAAUUUGGGGAUCCCCUCGGGAAUUCCCUGGGAUGGAUGUUGGGGAUCCUUCGGGAAUUUCCAGGGAUGGAUUUGGGGAUCCCUUGAGUUGAAUUUGGGGAUCCCUUCGGGAAUUCCCUGGGAUGGGUUUUGGGAUCUCCUUGUGAAUUCUCAGCUGGAUUUUGGGAUCUACUUGGAAUCUCCUGGAGCUGAAUUUGGGAUUCCUCAGGAAUUCCCUGGGAGGGAUUUGGGGAUCCCUUGAGUUAAAUUUUGGGGAUCCCUUUGGGAAUUCCCUGGAAUGGAUUUGGGGAUUCCCAAAUUGGGAAUCCCCCCAGAGUGGGAUUUGGGAAUCUCCUGAAAUGGGUUUGGGAUCCCUUUGGAAACUCCUGGAGCUGAAUUUGGGGGAUCCCCUUGGGAAUUUCCAGGGAUGGAUUUGGGGAUCCCUUGAGUUGAAUUUGGGGAUCCCUUUGGGAAUUCCUUGGGAUGGAUUUGGGGAUCCCUUUGGGAACUUCCUGAGUCAGGAAUCAUUUUGGGGACUCUCCUAAAAUGGAUUUGGGAUCCCUUUGGGAAUUUUAAGCUGGAUUUGAGAUCCCCUUGGGAAUUCCCUGGGAUGGAUUUUGGGGAUCCCUUGAGCUGAAUUUGGGGAUCCCUUUGGGAAUUCUGAGCUGGAUUUGGGGAUCCCUUUGGAAAUCUCUCGGAAUGAAUUCGGGGAUGCCCUCAGGGAUUCCUUGGGAUGGAUUUGGGGAUCCCUCCUGGAAUGGAUUUGGGAUCCACUUUGGGAAUUCCCGGAGCGGGAUUUGGGAAUCUCCUGAAAUGGAUUUGGGAUCCCUUUGGAAACUCCUGGACCUGAAUUUGGGGAUCCCCUCGGGAAUUCCCUGGGAUGGGUUUUGGGGAUCCCUUGAGUUGAAUUUGGGGAUCCCUUUGGGAAUUCUGAGCUGGAUUUGGGGAUCCCUUUGGAAAUCUCUUGGAAUAAAAUUUGGGAAUUCCAGAGAAUUGGAGCAGUUCUGAAAAUCCCAAAAAUCAUCCGGGAUCCCAAAAUCUGGGAGCGAAAAUUUGGGAAUUCCAACAGCUCCGAGGAGCCCCAAAAUGCCAAAACCUGGGACUGGAAUUUGGGGAAUUCUGGUGUCACUGAGGAGGCCCCAAAUCCUAAAAUCCAGAAUUGGAAUUUUGGGAAUUCCAGCACCACAGAGGCCAAAAAUCCCAAAAUUUGGGAUCAGAAUUCUGGGAAUUCCAGAACCAUCUAAAAGACCCAAAAUCCCAAAAUCUGGAACCGUAAUUUUGGGAAUUCCAACAGCUCCAAGGAGGCCCCAAACCCCAAAAUUUGGGAUCGGAAUUCCGGGAAUUUCAAUCCUAAAAUCUGGGAUCGUAAUUCCAGAAUGUUGAUGCCUCCAAGGAAGCCCCAAAAUUUGGGAUUUGUGAAUUCUCUGGGUCGAGAUUUGGGAUUUAGAACUCCCAAAAUUCAGGAUUUGGGAUCUCCAAAAUUCGAGAUUUGGGAUCUCCAAAAUUUGGUAUUUUGGACCCCCAAAAUUCGGGAUUUGGGACCCCCAAACUUUGGGAUUUUGGACCCCCAAAAUUCGGGAUUUGGGACCCCCAAACUUUGGGAUUUGAGACCCCCAAAAUUCGGGAUUUCAGACCCCAAAAUUUGGGAUUUGGAAUCCCCAAAAUUCAGGAAUUGGGACCCCUAAAAUUCAGGAUUUAGGACCCAAAAAAUUUGCGAUUGGGACCCCUCCCCAAAAUUCGGGAUUUGGAAUCCCCAAAAUUCGGGAUUUGGUAUCUCAAAAUACGGGUUUUGGAUCCCCAAAAUUCGGGAUUUGGGACCCCAGUCCAUCCCAGUCCCUCCCAGUUUAUCCCAGUUCCAUCCCAGUCCCUCCCAGUCCCAUCCCAGUCCAUCCCAGUUUAUCCCAGUUUAUCCCAGUCCAUCCCAGUUCCAUCCCAGUCCCUCCCAGUCCCUCCCAGUCCAUCCCAGUUUAUCCCAGUCCAUCCCAGUUCCAUCCCAGUCCCUCCCAGUCCCUCCCAGUCCAUCCCAGUUUAUCCCAGUCCAUCCCAGUCCAUCCCAGUUUAUCCCAGUCCAUCCCAGUCCAUCCCAGUCCCUCCCAGUCCAUCCCAGUCCAUCCCAGUUUAUCCCAGUCCAUCCCAGUCCAUCCCAGUCCAUCCCAGUCCAUCCCAGUCCAUCCCAGUCCAUCCCAGUCCAUCCCAGUUCCAUCCCAGUCCAUCCCAGUUCCAUCCCAGUUUAUCCCAGUCCGUCCCAGUUUCGCUCCCGUUUCUCACCCGCCGCCGCCGCCCCCGGAGCCACUUCCGGCCGCGCUCGCGCGCGAUGACGUCACCGCGGAAGGGGCGGGGCCAGGGCGGGAACUGGGAGGGACUGGGACAAACUGGGACAAACUGGGACAAACUGGGACGGACUGGGACAAACUGGGACAGACUGGGACAGACUGGGACAGACUGGGACAGACUGGGACGGAUUGGGACGGGAUCUGGGGGAACUGUAAAGGGGAAUUUUAAGGAGACGGGGAUCCCAAAAUCGCGGAUUUAACCCCAAAAAUCGGGGAUUUAACCCCAAAAAUCGGGGAUUAAACCCGAAAAUUG